rnacentral:rRNA from 1 species
UACAGAGGGUGCAAACGUUGUUCGGAAUCACUGGGCGUAAAGCGUACGUAGGCGGAUCGUUAAGUCAGGGGUGAAAGCCUGGAGCUCAACUCCAGAACUGCCUUUGAUACUGGCGAUCUUGAGACCGGGAGAGGUGAGUGGAACUGCUAGUGUAGAGGUGAAAUUCGUAGAUAUUAGCAAGAACACCAGUGGCGAAGGCGGCUCACUGGCCCGGUACUGACGCUGAGGUACGAAAGCGUGGGGAGCAAACAGG